AUAUAUAUAUAUAUAUAAAACAAAAAACAUAAAUCCAAGGCAGAACUCAGGCCAAAAUACCACCAAAGACAGCCAACACUUUGGAGGAUGAUCGUAUACAAUUUAGUCAGAAAGGUACAUGGGCAAAAAAUCAUAGAAGGUGGGCCAGAUGGAUAUCUUCUGGUGAUACUGACAGGGCCACAGGUUGAACCAGAAGCCCAAGCGUGGGAGAAUGAAGUGUGUCUACAGAAUGACUAGGUCUCAAUGAGGAGGGCCAAAACUGGCGUAGCCAACUCCAAGGGCUCUGACUGAGGUGCCAGAGGAACAGACAGGAAAAGGGGAUCAGGACACAGACAUGAGCACGUACAGAGAAAAGGCUGUGCGAGGAGAAGGCUGCCAUCCGCAAGCCGAGGAGAGAGCUCUGAGAAAAAAAAAAAGAUCUUGCUGACACCUUCCUCUUGCACUUCCAGCCUCCAGGACUGUAAGAAAAGACAUUUCUGUUGUUUAAGCCACCAAGUAGUAUUUCGUUAUAGUAGUCCAAACAGACUAACGCACAAAUCAAAACUACUUUAGUCUUUCCACUUUGUUGCAAACGAUUGCAAGGUGUCCAGGUUUUCUGUCUUCCCCCAACCUACAAGUGCUCAGAGAACACUCAACCCCCAUGAUCUCAGCCAACACAUGAAGUCUGAUUUCACAAAACUUAGUGAUGUCCUCCCAGUGGAAUCCUAAAUGAUAAGGAAAAUGGUAUAGAGCCAAGACUCGAACGUUAACAACCCAGGAGCACAGAAACAGUAGAGUUAGCUGAGAGGCGUUAUGGAGAGAAGCAACGGAAUGCACACUGAGCGUUGUGACAAGCCCACGACAGUGGGGAACAGUGCCCACCGUCGCAAAAAGAAAGACCCUCGGCAGGUACUUUAGAGUCACGUUCAUGCCGUAAUAUGUGGGGAAGAAAGACUAUUCCAAAUGGAUCUGGCUCUUUAAAACAAGGCAAUUUUCCUUGCUUGGGAACCAGCAAAAUCCAGCUGCUCAUUGAACUGCCCAUCUGGAAUCUCACAAAUUUGCACCUUGAAGUUGUUAAUAAAGGACUAAGUUGAUAAUUCGAA